rnacentral:rRNA from 1 species
GACGAACGCUGGCGGCGUGCUUAACACAAGCAAGUCGAACGGAAAGGCCCUGCUUGCAGGGUACUCGAGUGGCGAACGGGUGAGUAACACGUGGGUGAUCUGCCCUGCACUUCGGGAUAAGCUUGGGAAACUGGGUCUAAUACCGGAUAGGAGCCAUCUUUAGUGUGGUGGUUGGAAAGUUUUUUCGGUGUAGGAUGAGCUCGCGGCCUAUCAGCUUGUUGGUGGGGUAAUGGCCUACCAAGGCGGCGACGGGUAGCCGGCCUGAGAGGGUGUACGGCCACAUUGGGACUGAGAUACGGCCCAGACUCCUACGGGAGGCAGCAGUGGGGAAUAUUGCACAAUGGGCGCAAGCCUGAUGCAGCGACGCCGCGUGGGGGAUGAAGGCCUUCGGGUUGUAAACUCCUUUCGCUAGGGACGAAGCUUUGUUGUGACGGUACCUAGAUAAGAAGCACCGGCUAACUACGUG